GCCAGGCAUGGUGGCACAUGCCUGUAAUCCCAGGAGCUGGGGAGGCUAAGGCAGGAGGAUCAUGAGUUCAAAGCCAGCCUCAGCAAUGGCAAGGAACUAAGCAACUCGGUUAGACCCUGUCUCUA
rnacentral:sRNA from 1 species